UACGAAGGGGGCUAGCGUUGCUCGGAAUCACUGGGCGUAAAGGGUGCGUAGGUGGUGAGGUAAGUCGGAUGUGAAAGCUCCAAGCUCAACUUGGAAAUGGCAUUGGAAACUACCUUGCUAGAGGGUUUGAGGGGGGACUGGAAUACUUGGUGUAGCAGUGAAAUGCGUAGAUAUCCGGAGGAAUACCAAAGGCGAAGGCAGUGUCCUGGGAAGUACCUGACGCUGAGGCGCGAAAGCCAGGGGAGCGAACAGG
rnacentral:rRNA from 1 species